rnacentral:rRNA from 1 species
GACGAACGCUGGCGGCGUGCCUAAUACAUGCAAGUAGAACGCUGAAGGAGGAGCUUGCUUCUCUGGAUGAGUUGCGAACGGGUGAGUAACGCGUAGGUAACCUGCCUGGUAGCGGGGGAUAACUAUUGGAAACGAUAGCUAAUACCGCAUAAUAGUAGAUGUUGCAUGACAUUUGCUUAAAAGGUGCAAUUGCAUCACUACCAGAUGGACCUGCGUUGUAUUAGCUAGUUGGUGGGGUAACGGCUCACCAAGGCGACGAUACAUAGCCGACCUGAGAGGGUGAUCGGCCACACUGGGACUGAGACACGGCCCAGACUCCUACGGGAGGCAGCAGUAGGGAAUCUUCGGCAAUAGACGGAAGUCUGACCGAGCAACGCCGCGGGAGUGAAGAAGGUUUUCGGAUCGUAAAGCUCUGUUGUAAGAGAAGAACGAGUGUGAGAGUGGAAAGUUCACACUGUGACGGUAGCUUACCAGAAAGGGACGGCUAACUACGUG